rnacentral:rRNA from 1 species
CCUACGGGAGGCAGCAGUGGGGAAUUUUGGACAAUGGGCGCAAGCCUGAUCCAGCUAUUCCGCGUGUGGGAUGAAGGCCCUCGGGUUGUAAACCACUUUUGUAGAGAAAGAAAAGACACCUUCGAAUAAAGGGUGUUGCUGACGGUACUCUAAGAAUAAGCACCGGCUAACUACGUGCCAGCAGCCGCGGUAAUACGUAGGGUGCGAGCGUUGUUCGGAAUGACUGGGCGUAAAGGGUGCGUAGGCGGUUGUACAAGUUAGAAGUGAAAUACCCAGGGCUUAACUCGGGUGCUGCUUCUAAAACUGUAUGACUUGAGUGGAGUAGAGGUUAGUGGAAUUCCUAGUGUAGCGGUGGAAUGCGUAGAUAUUAGGAGGAACACCAGAGGCGAAGGCGGCUAACUGGACUGCAACUGACGCUGAGGCACGAAAGUGUGGGGAGCAAACAGGAUUAGAUACCCCAGUAGUC